GCGGCUGUAGCUCAGCAGGAUAGAGCAUAGGAUUCCUAAUCCUAGGGCCGUGGGUUCGAAUCCCGCCAGCCGCACCA
rnacentral:tRNA from 1 species